rnacentral:RNase_P_RNA from 1 species
UGAGUGAGCCGGGCGGUCGCGGAACGGGCUGCAAGGUCUGUUUCGAGGAAAGUCCGAACUCUACAGAGCACGAUGCUGGGUAACACCCAGGCGGGGCGACCCGACGGAAAAGUGCCACAGAAAACAGGUCGCUGGGGCUGCCCCAAAACAUACUCCGCCCCGGUUUGCCCGGGGGAGAACGGCUACCGGAGCGUGUUUUGGGACAGCCCCAGUCACAGUGAAAAGGUGGUGUAAGAGACCACCAGCGGCACAGGCGACUGUGUCGGCUAGGUAAACCCCAUCGAGAGCAAGGCCAAGCAUGAGAUCGGCCGGAGCAUGCUCCGGCUACGGGUUGCUCGCCCGCAUAUCUCGGGUAGGCUGCUUGAGGCACCGGGAGACCGGUGUCCCAGAUAGAUGGCCGCCGACCUGACGUAAUGUCAGGUUACAGAAUUCGGCUUACAGGCUCACUCAUCCU